rnacentral:rRNA from 1 species
CCUACGGGGCGCUGCAGUGAGGAAUAUUGGUCAAUGGACGCAAGUCUGAACCAGCCAUGCCGCGUGCAGGAAGACGGCUCUCUGAGUUGUAAACUGCUUUUGUACGAGGGUAAACGCAGAUACGCGUAUCUGUCUGAAAGUAUCGUACGAAUAAGGAUCGGCUAACUCCGUUCAAGCAGCCGCGGUAAUACUGAGGAUUCAAGCGUUAUCCGGAUUUAUUGGGUUUAAAGGGUGCGUAGGCGGUCGGAUAAGUUAGAGGUGAAAUCCCGAGGCUCAACUUCGGGAUUGCCUCUGAUACUGUUUGGCUAGAGAGUAGUAGCGGUAGGCGGAAUGUAUGGUGUAGCGGUGAAAUGCUUAGAGAUCAUACAGAACACCGAUUGCGAAGGCAGCUUACCAAGCUACUUCUGACGUUGAGGCACGAAAGCGUGGGGAGCAAACAGGAUUAGAUACCCCUGUAGUC